rnacentral:rRNA from 1 species
AUGCCGCGUCACUGGAUCCGGGAUUGCCACACGAGGAAAGCCGAUGAGGCAGCCGCGGCAACGGCAAACCUCGUCCAGGCUGACGUGGACGGUGGGCCAGCAAUGAUGUUGGCAAGAGUCGAGCCCGUGCAGGAGAGCUCAGCGUCUCCCGCGACCACGGCCCCGACAACCACCCAUUCCGUGCAGGAGGCACGGAGCCCGUCCACGGGUUCCAUCCCUUCAGUGACAGCCCACACCCCAACAACGACGUUUUCGGGGCCUGUCGACUGGGAGGCGGUGAAAGCCCGGGUGUGGGGGAACCACACGACGACGACGGCGUCCCCGAAGACCUCGGGACCCGACGAGGUCAGGCAAGUUGGCGCGGCAAGGACGCAUAUGGCGGACCAUGCUCCGACCAUGAUGCUUGCGACCAUCGACUCCGUGCAGGAGCGCACGGAGACUCAGCUCAGCCACACCCCGACAUCGAAGUGUUCGGAGUCCACCUUGUUGACGGGAGAUGGCUCCCCGACAACGGCAUGUGCGUGUGGCUACGUCUUCCUCAACGAGGAGAGAGCUGUGACCACAACCACGCUUGUAGGAGACAAGCAAAGUGAGGGUUGGUUCCUCGACACCGGCGCCACGAACCACAUGACUGGUUCGGUCUACGCGUUCGCGGAGCUAGACCGCUCAAUCACCGGGAAGGUGCGGUUCGCGGACGGUUCCGUGGUGCAGAUCCACGGGCGCAUGGCCGUCAUCUUCGCCGACAAAGGGGGUGAUCACACGGCGUUCACGGACGUCUACUUCAUCCCGGCGCUCAAGAGCAGCAUCGUGAGUAUCGGACAGCUCGACGAGGGCUGGUUCGACAUCGGCAUCCGCCGCGGUGUUCUCACCGUGCGCGACCAGCAGAAGAGGCUGCUCAUCGAGGUAACCCGCUGGCCAAACCGCCUCUACAAGCUCUUCUUUCAAUCCGUGCAUCCUGUGUGUCUUGCCGUGGGCCAUGUCUCCGACGCGUGGCGUUGGCAUGCCCGGCUAGGACACCAUCACUUCGACGGGUUGCGAAAUAUGGCGCGAGGCAACCUCGUUCGCGGGGUACCUCACAUCGAGCACGCCGACGAGCUGUGCGACGCGUGUCUUGCCGGGAAACAGCGGCGCCUGCCCUUUCCUGAGAAGGCGCGCUAUCGGGCACAGAAACCCCUGGAGCUUGUUCACGGGGACCUCUGCGGCCCAAUCACCCCAGCAAUGCCAGGAGGGCGUCGCUACAUCCCGCUUCUCGUCAACAACUAUAGCAGGUUCAUGUGGGUGCUGCUCCUCGCCUCCAACGACGAGGCGGGGCAAGCCAUCGUCAAGCAGCAAGCAGCAACAGAGGUCGAGUGCGGCCACAAGCUACCCGUGCUACGCACGGACCGUGGCGGCGAGUUCACGUCGGCCACGUUCUACAAGCACUACAACGACAAGGGGUACAACGUCACCUGA